ACGCUCGACACCUACGGGGGGCAGCAGUGGGGAAUAUUGCACAAUGGGGGAAACCCUGAUGCAGCAACGCCGCGUGAAGGAAGACGGUUUUCGGAUUGUAAACUUCUGUUCUUAGUGAAGAUAGUGACGGUAGCUAAGGAGCAAGCCACGGCUAACUACGUGCCAGCAGCCGCGGUAAUCUGAGCGGGCUGGCAAGGC
rnacentral:rRNA from 1 species